rnacentral:rRNA from 1 species
UUGGAGGGCAAGUCUGGUGCCCGCAGCCGCGGUAUUCCAGCUCCAAUAGCGUAUAUUAAAGUUGUUGCAGUUAAGAAGCUCGUAUUUGAAUUUCGGGGUCAGUAGGUUGGUCAUGCCACUGGUAUGUACUGGCCUCACUGAUUCCUCCUUCCUGAUGAACUGUAAUGCCAUUAAUUUGGUGUUGCGGGGAAUUUGGACUGUUACUUUGAAAAAAUUAGAGUGUUUAAAGCAGGCUAACGCCUGAAUACAUUAACAUGGAAUAAUGAAAUAGGACGUUCGAUCCUAUUUUGUUGGUUUCUAGGAUUGACGUAAUGAUUAAUAGGGAUAGUUGGGGGCAUUACUAUUCAAUUGUCACAGGUGAAAUUCUUGGAUUUAUUGAAGACUAACUACUGCGAAAGCAUUUGCCAAGGAUGUUUUCAUUAAUCAGAAACGAAAGUUUGGGGAUCGAAGACGAUCAGAUACCGUCGUAGUCUUAACCAUAAACUAUGCCGACUAGGGAUCUGAUGAUGUUAAUUUUUUAAUGACUCAUUCCGCGCCUUACGGGAAACCAAAGUGUUUGGGUUC